UACGUAGGGCGCAAGCGUUGUCCGGAAUUAUUGGGCGUAAAGAGCUCGUAGGCGGCUUGUCACGUCGGGUGUGAAAGCCCGGGGCUUAACCCCGGGUCUGCAUUCGAUACGGGCUAGCUAGAGUGUGGUAGGGGAGAUCGAAUUCCUGGUGUAGCGGUGAAAUGUGCAGAUAUCAGGAGGAACACCGGUGGCGAAGGCGGAUCUCUGGGCCAUUACUGACGCUGAGGAGCGAAAGCGUGGGGAGCGAACAGG
rnacentral:rRNA from 1 species